ensembl:snRNA U6 U6 spliceosomal RNA
GUGCUCGCUUCAGCAGCACAUAUACUAAAAUUGGAAUGUUACAGAGAAGAUAACAUGGCCCCCACACAAGGAUGACACACAAAUUCGUGAAGCGUUCCAUAUUUUU